rnacentral:rRNA from 1 species
AGUGAACGCUGGCGGUAGGCCUAACACAUGCAAGUCGAACGGCAGCACAGUAAGAGCUUGCUCUUACGGGUGGCGAGUGGCGGACGGGUGAGGAAUACAUCGGAAUCUACUUUUUCGUGGGGGAUAACGUAGGGAAACUUACGCUAAUACCGCAUACGACCUACGGGUGAAAGCAGGGGAUCUUCGGACCUUGCGCGAUUGAAUGAGCCGAUGUCGGAUUAGCUAGUUGGCGGGGUAAAGGCCCACCAAGGCGACGAUCCGUAGCUGGUCUGAGAGGAUGAUCAGCCACACUGGAACUGAGACACGGUCCAGACUCCUAGGGGAGGCAGAAGUGGGGAAUAUUGGAAAAUGGGCGCAAGCCUGAUCCAGCCAUACCACGUGGGUGAAGAAGGCCUUCGGGUUGUAAAGCCCUUUUGUUGGGAAAAAAAAACAGCAGGUUAAUACCCCGCUGUUCUGACGGUACCCAAAAAAUAAGCACCGGCUAACUUCGU